GGAUGUAGCUCAGUGGUACAGCAUGUGCUUAACAUGUACAAGGUCCUGGGUUCAUUCCCCAGUACUUCCG
rnacentral:tRNA from 1 species